UGAACUGAAAGAAAAAGGCAAAAUUGGAAAUUCAUAUAACAUUUCAUUUAUUCAUAAUAAAAGACUUAUUAUGUGAUAGACAAGUGAAAAUAAGGGAUUACAAGGAAAAAGGAAAAAAUUACAUCAUUUUGGUAUGAUUGACUUUUUGGUCAACUGUUGACUUUUGGUCAACUUUUAACUUUUGGUCAAUUUUUGACUAUUGACUCAAUUUUGGAUCCUAAAUAUUCAUAGACCUAUUCCACUUUCAUUUAAUCACAAAAAUUCACAAUUUUCAUGAAAAAUUCAAUUAUGUCAUUAACAUGUUUCAUGAAAGGAUUCUCAACACUUUCCAUCCUUCAAGCUCUCUUUCCAUGACUCUUUCUCCUUCUUCCCAUAGUGCUUUAAGAAAAUUAUUCCACCACUUUGUUUGCCUUGCUACAAGAAAGAAAAUAAAAUGAUUCAAUCACCAAGCUCAUCAAUCAAAGUCAUCCAAAAUCUAUGGGAAAGUCACAUAAAAAUACUGCAUAAACACUUAGGGCCUGUUUGAAACACUUUUCAAUUUUAGUUCUUAAAACUUGUUUUUCAAAUCUAUUUAAAAAAACUAUUUUUAAGAAGAAAAUUAACAAAAAAUUUGUUUGAUAAACUAAUUUUUAAAAACUGUUUUGAGAAUAUGAAAAUGAAAAAACUUGUUUGAUAAUCUAAUCUUUUAAUAGUAUUUUAAGAAGAGAAUAAAAAUGCAUAUUUUGUCAUUUACUUUUAAAAUAUAUUUUAUUGUAUGAAAUAUUACAAAAUUAAAAAAAUUAAUUGAUAUUUGAUCGAAUACAAAUAAUUGGGUUAAAUCAAUUUUUAAUUUUACAAAUCACAUAACACUUGUUUGUAAUAAUAAUAAGAAAAAAACAAGUAAAAAAUGAGAUUCCACGUUUAAUAGAAAAAAAAUUAUAUAGUCAAAAUAAUUAAGAAACACAAAAAAAAUUAAGUAAAAUAAAUAAACGUAUUUGAAAAGGUUACUUAUACAUAAAAAGAGCAUAAAUAAAAGAAAUAACAUAUUCUUUCAAAUACGUUUUUCUAUUUUAUUUUUAAAAUAUAAAAAUCAUUAAAAUUACAUUAAUGCUAUUAAUGAAAAUUAUAAAUUUUUAUGUUUUUUCUUCAAGUUUUAUAAUACUAAAAACUAAAAAGUAAGAAGCAAAACACAACUAAACUGUUUCACUUUUUUGCUUUUAAAAACUGAAAAAUANUUAUAAUACUAAAAACUAAAAAGUAAGAAGCAAAACACAACUAAACUGUUUCACUUUUUUGCUUUUAAAAACUGAAAAAUAGAAAAGAGUUUUUAAAAACACUUUUGCAAAACAUUAUAUUCAAACAUGUUUUUAAAUUUUAAAUUUUCAAAAACUAAAAAAGAGUUUUUAAGAUGCAUUUCAAACAGGCCCUUAGAAAUUUUGGCAUGACCUCUCUAUUUUUCCCAUUUAUCCAAACCUAUUCAUACAAAAAAAAAUGGAAUUUGAUCCAUAAUUUGCACCAUUCCCAAGCAUGGAUCAAUUCCAAAAAGCACUUGAAGAUGUAGGAUGAUCCGCAAAACAAUCCAAUUUUCAAAACCAUUAAAAACCAAAGCAUAAAUUCAUUAUUUUCAAGUUCCAAGUUUGUGAUCAUUCACCUUACCCCUAAACUUGGUACUUAUGCUAAAAUCAAACAUGUCUUACUCCUAACUACCUAUUUUAACCCAAAACUAUGUAUUUACUCAUUUGUCCUUAACCUCUCUACCUAACUCUAACUUCUUUAAAGUUCACACACUAACACAAAAUUAAGCAAGUUUUCAUCAAACUUAAUCAUUGAUAACAAUUAAUCUAAUAGCUAAGUUUAUUGAUCCGAAACUAAUUUUUGAUUAAUUUCUAACCAUUGAUAAAGUAAUGAGUUGGAUCAUAAUCCAAUUAAUCAUAAUUAACCAAAAAAUCUAUAUAAACUUUAUAUUUUCCCAACUUUAGGGGGUUAAGAACUUUAACCAUUUUUUGCUUUUAACCUCUAAGUUUUCUCUCAACCUUUUCACCAUUUCCAUAACUUCUACCAAAGUUCACCACCAUUACCAUAUAUAAUUUCAUAUUGAAAUUCUAGUUUUGUUAUAACUCAAUCACAAGCACUCAACAAUCAUCAUUCAACAAUUCAAAAUUCAUCAUUCAACAAUUCAAGAUUGACCACAAUUCAACAAUUCAAGUGUUCAUCAAUUUUCAACAAUUUCAUCAACAUUCAAGCAUGAAUCACUUUUCUAUCAUCUCCUAAUUUUCAUCUUCUAAUCAUCAACAUUCAUCUCAUCAUUUAGAUUAUUGGAAGCAUAAUAAAAUGAUUACCUCUUGAAGUUUUUUUUCGGUAAAAUUUCAACAUGCACCGGAGCAAAUCUAGACUCCGUUGGUAAGUCUUGAACUUUCACCAUUUCUAUACCAUUGCCAUAAAUCGUCUUGUGUGAUUGAUAUUUUUAAUUGCACGUGGUAGAGCCUUUAGAUUAUUCUAUUGUUUUAAGGUUAAUUUGAUCUCAAAAAGUAGUUUAAUUAUUCAAGAAUUUACUAUUAAAGUAGCAUGAAAAUGAACAUAACGUAGUUUUUCCUAUAAUAUAACCAAGAUUUAUACUUAACAUAGCAAUAGAGUUGUAGUUAGUAUAAAAAUAACUUUGACUUAGGCAUAGAACAAAAUAGCUUUUUUACAUAAGCACUUAUUUCCAAAGAAAACUAAAGUUCAAAUAACAUGGGAGUUAGCUUAGUAAGAAUUAUCCAACUCUUAGCAUAACCAUUGACAUAUAAUUAACAUAUUUGACAUAGAAAUUAAACAAGUCCAAAACAAAAAAUUAACUCCAUAAAAACAAACAACUUUUUUCCAUUGUACUUAUUUGCAUUUACAAAAAAUCAACAUUUCAAGUAGUAAUUAGCAUAUGAAAGCUUCUAGCAUAAUUUUAGCAUUCAAUUUACAUUGAGUUAGCAUUAAUACAUUAUUAGAAUAAUAUCUUUUUUUUCUACAAAUUCCAAACAUGUCUUAACAUAAAAAUCAUCUUUUUCUUGAAUCUCAACAUCUCUAAUCCAUCACAAACAAUGAAAAUCAUUAAAAAUAAACACUCAAUCAUGAAAACUGAUAAAAAUCCAAGCAUAAAACAGUUUUAUUUGAACAAUUUUGAGCAAGAUUUGAAUUUUUCUACUUACCCCAAAAACCUUGAAAAAGUAUCAAUGGAGUUUGGAAGAGUUGGAGAAGAUAUAAAAUCACAACACCUAAGGGGGAUGAGGUAUUUCAAGAACUAGUCCAAUCUAGUGAACCGGUCGGCCGAUCCGGUUCG
rnacentral:lncRNA from 1 species